CUCAGUAACGGCGAGUGAAGCGGCAACAGCUCAAAUUUGAAAUCUUGGCCCCAGGCCCGAGUUGUAAUUUGCAGAGGAUGCUUCUGGCGACGUGCCUUCCAAGUUCCCUGGAACGGGACGCCAUAGAGGGUGAGAGCCCCGUACGGUAGUGCACCUAGCCUCUGUGAAGCUCCUUCGACGAGUCGAGUAGUUUGGGAAUGCUGCUCUAAAUGGGAGGUAUACGUCUUCUAAAGCUAAAUACCGGCUAGAGACCGAUAGCGCACAAGUAGAGUGAUCGAAAGAUGAAAAGCACUUUGAAAAGAGGGUUAAACAGUACGUGAAAUUGCUGAAAGGGAAGCGCUUAUGACCAGACUUGGGCCGGUGAAUCACCCGUCGUUCUCGGCGGUGCACUUUGCCGGCUCAGGCCAGCAUCAGUUCGCUUCGGGGGAUAAAGGCUUCGGGAAAGUAGCUCCCUCGGGAGUGUUAUAGACCGUUGCGCAAUACCCUGGGGCGGACUGAGGUACGCGUUCUGCAAGGAUGCUGGCGUAAUG
rnacentral:rRNA from 1 species